GACAACAUGGCCGAGUGGUUAAGGCGACAGACUUGAAAUCUGUUGGGUUCGCCCGCGUAGGUUCGAGCCCUACUGUUGUCG
rnacentral:tRNA from 1 species